rnacentral:miRNA from 1 species
UAAAAUAGACAAAGUGAGAGUU